AAUGAACGCUGGCGGCAGGCCUAACACAUGCAAGUCGAACGCUCUAGCAAUAGAGAGUGGCAGACGGGUGAGUAACGCGUGGGAACCUACCUAGUGGUGCGGAAUAGCUCAGGGAAACUUGGGGUAAUACCGCAUGAGCCCGAAAGGGGAAAGAUUUAUCGCCAUUAGAUGGGCCCGCGUAGGAUUAGCUAGUUGGUGAGGUAAUGGCUCACCAAGGCAACGAUCCUUAGCUGGUUUGAGAGAAUGACCAGCCACACUGGGACUGAGACACGGCCCAGACUCCUACGGGAGGCAGCAGUGGGGAAUCUUGGACAAUGGGCGCAAGCCUGAUCCAGCCAUCCCGCGUGAAGGAUGAAGGGGCUCUGCCCUUGUAAACUUCUUUUGUAUGGGGGCGAAAAAAGGGGAUUUAUCCUCGACUGACGGUACCAUAAGAAUAAGCACCGGCUAACUCCGUG
rnacentral:rRNA from 1 species